rnacentral:rRNA from 1 species
GAUGAACGCUGGCGGCGUGCCUAAUACAUGCAAGUCGAGCGAACAGACGAGGAGCUUGCUCCUCUGACGUUAGCGGCGGACGGGUGAGUAACACGUGGAUAACCUACCUAUAAGACUGGGAUAACUUCGGGAAACCGGAGCUAAUACCGGAUAAUAUAUUGAACCGCAUGGUUCAAUAGUGAAAGACGGUUUUGCUGUCACUUAUAGAUGGAUCCGCGCCGCAUUAGCUAGUUGGUAAGGUAACGGCUUACCAAGGCAACGAUGCGUAGCCGACCUGAGAGGGUGAUCGGCCACACUGGAACUGAGACACGGUCCAGACUCCUACGGGAGGCAGCAGUAGGGAAUCUUCCCCAAUGGGCGAAAGCCUGACGGAGCAAAGCCGCGUGAGUGAUGAAGGUCUUCGGAUCGUAAAACUCUGUUAUUAGGGAAGAACAAAUGUGUAAGUAACUAUGCACGUCUUGACGGUACCUAAUCAGAAAGCCACGGCUAACUACGUG